rnacentral:lncRNA from 1 species
UUUUUUUUUGUGUGUGCAGCAGAUCGGUCCUAUUAUUGCCCUUCUCCAUCGAAUUAUAUUUUGUGUGCAUCCGUCAAUAUACAAUGGUAUUUUGAUGGAGGGACAUACUCCAUGAUGCUUUGACAUUUUUUGGGCGUCCCCUCUGACGAUGAAAUUUUAGAUCAUUAUCCGUCCGCGACGGUGCGCGUACAUUUUUCCACAGGAGAAAACUUGGGGACUGUUACUUGUUUCGUCAUAUUUUAUAAUUGUCAGUUUAAUGCGUGCAUUAUCGACCGUUGAAAAUAUAUCGUAUGCCUAUUUUUGUUAGUCCUCACUUUGAGCGAUUGAUUAUAUUUUUUAAUUGAUUCUUCUCAUUAUAAAACAUAUUUUUGCCAUUUUUUAAUUUAUAUUAUGUGAUCCAUAUAUUUAUUUUAUCUUGGUUAAAAUCCAUGUCAACAGAUGCCCCUCGAGGUCUAGGUUUGAUGUUUUUUUUGACUCGGACCCAGAGCUCGAAACUUGACAAUCUAUUUUGUGCUUAUAGUAUUUUCGUAUGUGGCUCAUGAUUUGUUUUAGUAUUCCUUUUCAGCAUCCGAUUUUCUAUUCAGAUGCAUCCCAGCUAUACGUGGAUGUGCAGUUUUUUGUCUACACUAUGCAUUUUUUAUAUUAUAAUUUAGGCUCGGAACUCGUUCUUUUCGGAGCGCACGACUUAACAUUGGGAUUUUAAACUCAUGAAGAUUGGAUCAAAUAUAACAUUUUUGAAACAUGCUUAUAGUUAAGCUCAUAUAGCAUUGAGCAUUUUUAUGUGUGUUCAAAGUUUCACACGACGCUUGUAGUUUAGGCUCAUAUAGCAUUGGAGCAUUAUAUCUCUUUCUCUCCAUACAUGGUUAGUUUAUACUCGUAUAUCCUGUGAGCUUAUAUUUUCCAUAUGAAGGAUACACAUAUCAUGCUUUUGUAGUCAAGCUGCCAGCGAAUCAUGCUUUGCGUAACAUUUUCUGUUCAUUUAUAUUUUCCAUAUGAAGGAUACACAUAUCAUGCUUAUGUGUUUGCAUGGUGCCAAUAAUUUAUGUUGGAGUAUGUUUUUUUGUUCAUUUUUGUUGUAACUCUGACUGUUUGUAGUCAUGGGUCCUUCAAUGGAAUGAUUUCGAUGAGCAACUUUUUCUUCAUGGUUUUCUAUGUCGAUGGCUUUCAGGGCCAAGUCGUCAAAAGUGAUUCGUCACACCCCUUGUAUGUGCCAACACACUUGGUAGGAGACUAUCCGCGGACAUCCAUAUUGUGCCAACCUCAGUGAAUUGUUCUUCACACUGAGGCUUAAAUUCUCCACCUAAUAAUAACUUAGAAAACAAUAUUGUUCAGUUUUUUCUUUGUACAGGCCAAUUUGGGGAAACAUGCGAUAUAUUUUUUUGUUACAAAAUAUCCAAGAAGGAUAUCUUGCAUUUUUUUGAGUCCUAAUCGAACAUGGUUGUAAAUUUUUUUUGUACCAAGGACACAAUUAGUCCCGAUGAAAUUUGAACAAUUGUCGAAAGAAUAUAGCUUUGCUACGUAUCGAAUCUUGGUACGCGACAACUAUAUGAGCUAUAUGUUACCAUUCCAUUGGAAAAGGGGUCAAACCACCAUAUGGAGGUUAUGGUUUGACAUACCUUGGCCAGUUGGCAUGCCAUGUCUCCAUAUAUUGAGCCUUAGCUUGCUGGUAAAUCACCUAUUUUAUUAUCUCAAGAGUGACACAAGAAGAUACAUAACUUUCUUUGCUUGAGGAUGUGUUAUUUAUUUCCCAGGUAUGCAGAUUCUUCCCAGUUUUAAUGGAAUAAAACAUUUAAUUGAGAUAACUGCUCCUCAACAGAAGUCACUCCUCAACCCGCAUAAUUUGUUCUGGAUGAAAAUUGGCAUAACCAUAUGUAACCUGAAGAUCACUGGGUUUGAUGUCUGGUUGCACUAGAAUGCACUCUUAGCAUUCUAUACCACAUGAAAGAUCAUGGUAUGACCUCAUCCACAACUUUUUCGUUGAGAAAUUCGGAAGCAGGUGUGUUGACAUAUAUAUAUAUAUAUGAUUAUUUUCAACAAAUUUUGAUGGGUUUGCCCCCAGUAUUUUAGGAUAUGGCAAGAUUGGAUUUAUCGCCCACCUGUUGGGAGGAUUUUUUUGCACUAGAUAUUGAGUGUGUAUUUUCCUUAUGUGCCAUUGGAUAUAUGCUUCACAUGUAGCAUCCUUGGAUGAUGGUAUCCCUUUUGUAUGUAUUUGUCAAGUUGAUCAUAUUUAUUGACUAAUAUUUUUUGUUAAUUCACGCCACCUUUUUUUGAAAAGAUGAUGCUAUUAGUUUGGUUUGUCGCAAGACUCAUGAAAGAGUUGGCUUUUUUAUACAGAGAAUAUCCAUGCUUAUACUUUUAUCUUGUUAAGCAUUAGAGAGUUAUUUCAAUGACCUAGCUUAUGUUGAUAUGGCAUUGGAUCAUAUGUUUGAAACUGGUUGUUCUUUGACUUACUACGAUUUCAAACAAGAUAUUGUUUGUUGUUAACAUAUUUCCGUUCAAAAGAAACAAAGGAGCGUAAUUGACCCUUCUUCUGUUUCGGUGGUACUCCCGGGUGGGCUUUAGCCACUUGAUUAUGAGUGCUUCUGCUAUUUUCUAGAAACACUUCUAAAAUUUAGAUCAAUCAUUAUGUAGGCUGACAAUACAGUGAUUUUUUUAUGCAAAAUUGCAUUUCGAGUUUGAGCCCGUGAGGCAAGUUUUGGCGAAAUAUGAUUGAUCUUGCACCUUUUGCUCGAGAGAACAAUGUAUGCUUGCAGGUUUGUCUCUUGCAGCAUUGGAGCAGUUUUAGACAUAUGGUUAUUUAAUAUGAUGUUAGGAGUAUUUACUCCCAGAUGCACACGUUUGAACUUCAAUUUUUUGAUGAAUAUUUGAUUUCCGUCGAUUUGUUGCAGCACAGUUUAUACCCUUAAGGUGUUGGAGUAUUUUUUUUGCUUCCCUAGUUUAUACUCAUGAGGAUGUGGAGUAGAUUUUUUUUGGGUGCCCCAGUUUAGACUCGUUAAGCUAUGGAGCAUUUUUAUUUUAUUUUCCCUAGUUUAUACUCGUGAGGGUAUGGAGUAGAUAUAUUUAUUAGGGUGCCCCAGUUUAGACUCAUGAGGGUAUGGAGUAUUUUUAUUUUAUGUUCCUCAGUUUAUAUUCAUGAGGGUAUGGAGUAAUAUUUUUGGGAGCCCCAGUUUAUAUUCAUGAGAGUAUGGAGUAAUAUUUUUUUCUAUCACAGUUUAGACUCGUAAGUUUAUUGGAGUGUAUUUUUUUGGGGUGCCCCAGUUUAGACUCGUGAGGCUAUGGAGUGAUUUUUUUAUGAGCCCCAGUUUAUACUCAUGAGGGUAUGGACUAUGUUUGAUAAAAAAAAUUGCAUCGCAGUUUAUACUCGUAAGUUCUUGGAGUAAUAUAUGUUUUAUACCACAGUUUAUACUCGUGAGGUAUUGGAGUAUGUUUGAUGAUUUUUUUGCAUCACAAUUUAUACUCGUAAGUUCUUGGAGUAAUAUAUGUUUUAUACCAUAGUUUAUACUCGUGAGGUAUUGGAGUAUGCUCCCUUUUUUGCAUCGCAGUUUAGACUCAUAAGUUGUUGGAGUAAUAUAUGUUUUAUACCACAGUUUAUACUCGUGAGGUAUUGGAGUAUGUUCCCUUUUUCUGCAUCACAGUUUAGACUCAUAAGUUGUUGGAGUAAUAUAUGUUUUAUACCACAGUUUAUACUCGUGAGGUAUUGGAGUAUGUUCCCUUUUUGUGCAUCACAGUUUAGACUCAUAAGUUGUUGGAGUAAUAUAUGUUUGUAGUUUUUAAUUGGGUGCACAUAAUGAAGCAACAUUUGUAUUGCAGGCAUUAAAGCAAAAAAAUAUGUCGUUUCUCUUCAGAUUCACUUCUCUUCUAUGAGAACAAAAUUAUGAUGAUACAAGAACAUUUUCUUCCCUGCAUCAUCAUAUUAAAAAAUGCACCUAGUGAAAUAGUCAUAACCAUAAUAUAAAGAAACAAAGGUCAUGUACAUAUCAUUUUCUUUGAUAAAGACUGAACAACCUUUUUCUUACAUAUUUCACCUAGGAAUAAACAUUUCAACAUGCACUAAGAUAGCUGGUUACAUAUUUCACUCAGGAACAAACAUUUCAGCGGGUCCUAAGAUAACCAGUUAUGUUGGAAUGUCGCCUAUAAACCUCGAAGCUCGCAUAGGCAUCCAGACAUGCAUACUUGAUCCGGUCAUGGUCCAGGUUGGACUUUUCCCACUGACUAACAAUGAUGCUUUUGUCCUUGUUAAGACUUAUGUUUGCAACCUUCUUUGCUAGCUUCUCCAAUGAAGCCAAAUUGCCUGCUUUUUGGUUAGGAACCUUGAUACCCAGUCCCUGAACAUCAACAGGUUUUCUGAUACCCAAGUUAUAGAACUUGAGUUUUUCAAUGUCAUUGCCAAUGGCGGCACCCGCAAAUUCGACAGUCUCAUUGUCAAGGAAGUUGCGCAGAAGUGGAGGGAUAAAACUCCUGGCAUGAGCCUGGUAUAGCUGGUAAAUUAGGCAAUACUUGCCCACACAAAGUUGCAAGAUAGCAACACGUUGUGGCUCUUGAUUAGAGAGAACAAGUUGUUGCUCAAGUGGAAGCUUCUUACGCUCUUUGUUGUGGACAUAUCUAGUGUAUUCACAGUCAAGGCCAACAACACGCCACUUGGCGUGAUUAAGAUACUUUUUCCAGAUGAACCUGAUGAAGGCAACAAUUAUUGAAGGGUUGCUAGUCACCGUAGUAUGAAUUCUUAUACCGCCCUUGCUGAUAUGAAAAAGGCAAUCUAGAUGAUUGUUGUCGACACUCUUGGGGAAUUGGAUACGGACUUUGCCGACCUUAAUAUUGUGAAGGUUGACAUGGCGAAUAUUUCUUUGCUGAGGUUGAUGGCACAAUGACUCCAACGAAGUCUGGGAGGAAUCAUAUGCAAUGGGUGUUAAUGACGACAAAGGACUUGACAAUGUUGACGUUGGGUUCACAUGACAUGUUUCAUAGCCAUGGGAAUUGGGGUGCUUUUUCUUGCAUUAAGGGGAAACUUGAGAACCGUCUUAGAGCAUUCUCCAAUGGAUUUAUCGGCCAGCGGGAGAAUAGGUUCUGAAGUAUCAACUUGAAUGUUAUUGUGAACCUUUGAUGUCCUUCACUAAAAAAACAAUGAGGAGGAAAACAUAAUUUUGGUAUUUCCCCUAUUCAUAGGCUGCUCAUAUUGGAGUUUGUCCACUGUCUUCCCUUUUCCUUCUUUGUCUGCCCUCAUACUUCUCCCAAUGUUGAGUGGAGAGCAUACUUCCAUUCCUUGGUCAUGUUCAGUCGGUGAUGCAGUCAUAUUAUCUAAAUGUUGAUUUGUUGAAGUCACACAUGGACCAACCGGCGCAUCAAGCCAAAUGUCUCCAAUGCGGAGCAUGACCGACUGCGGCACUUGACCUUCCAUACCUUCAAAUAAAGAAAACUUUAUAUUAGUUUUCUUUUAGUAUAUUUAGCAUACACAAUGUUUAUAUAUUUCAUUUGCACUAGAAAUUCAUAUGUUGCAAUCCUAUGUUGGAAUUCAAAGAUGAGGGGAGAAAUAGGUCCCACUGGGCGUGCCAGAAUCUGAUGAUGGAAAAAUGGCGGGCGUGAAAAACGCAUCCACGUCAUUGAUACAGAGUGAAAUUUAAAUGCAUAAAAUAAAAAUAGAGUCAAACAUUGCAGGUACUUUAUUUCCAGAACUCUUACAUUUACAUAAAAAAUUGUUAAUUACAUCUCCAAAGAGAAAACCCUGAUUAAGAAUUCCAACAUAUCUAUUACAUAGGAUUACAUUACAUGCCUAUUACAAUAUUCUACCAGAGAAAUCCUCCUCGCGGUCGACGAUGAAUUCCUUCUUGGUGAACUUGAAGUUUGUUUCAUGCAAAUACUCCUCCAUGAUUUCAUGUGUGAUGUUGGGAAUAUAUAUUCCUAGCAUGCAACAAUUUGUUCGUGUUCAACAUCAUCUAUAUGCAGAAUGGAGAUUGAUUUUGGCUAGGCACAGUUUUAUCCUAUGUUUGGCACAUGGGAUAUGGCUAUGUAUUUUCCUUUAGGAAUUUUGCAUGAUAUACUUGGUUAGUGGCAUGGAUAUAUGUGACAUGACAAUUUUAAUGAGUUAUGCAUCAUCACAUUACUACUAGCAUUGUGCGACACUGAUGUGGUGCCCGUGUGUAGCGUAACGAACGGAAGCUUUCUGACACCAAUCUUAAUGCUUUUUAUGGUGCAUGUGAUAUGUGCCAUGUUUUAUUGAUUUUGACUUCAUACGGUAUCAAAACAAACAACACAGUGCAAUGAUAUGACACACACGUAUAGCUUGACCCGGAUGGAGUUUGUUUAUGAUAUUUUUGUUUGUUUAAAGCCUAUGUGGUCUACAUGAGAUAUGCCUUAUCAUGCAUUUUACUUGAACUUUGUAUGCAUAUAUGAAUGUGGAGUGAACUUAUUUUUUUGUUAAGUUUUGUUUUACCUGUAUUACUACUAACACCGCUUAGCACUAAGAUAAUGCCCGCAUGCAGCGUAACCAAGCAAAGGUUUGUGGAGCAAUUAUGGUAUUGCAUGAGUCAUAUUUUAUCUGUCAUUUUUGUUUAUGUUUGUACCUUACAUGGUAUUAGCACUAACUCCACAUAGCGUCAUUUCGUUGGCGCUCGUGUGUAGCAUAACCCAAGUAAAGUGAGUUUGUGUUAUCCAUUUGUGAUGAUGCUAAUAGUUUAGGCUCUUAUAGCAUUGGAGCAUUUCAUGACAUAUUUUAUUUGACUUUGGCUAAAAUAUGUGGCCCGGAUGUUUUGUUUAAUUUUCUCUCACUUGUAUUACUACUAACACUGCGUAGCAUUAAGGCGAUGCCCGCGUGUAGUGUAAUUGGGUAAGAUUGGUUUUUAUGAUGCAACAUGUUUUAUUAUUCAUCUUGCAUGAUUUUGGUUUUUUGGGUGUGUAACAUGAACACAUUUUUAGUUAAGUUUUGCCAACUUUUUGUAUUACUACUAACAUCGUGUGACAUUAAGAUAAUGCUCGCGUGCAGCGUAACCAAGUGACUGAAUAUAUUUUUAUGCUCUUGUUUGUAUUACAACUAGCGUGACACAUAAUGCCCGUAGCGCAUCCAAACAAGAGUUUAUCAUGAGUUCAGUUUAGAACUUUUGUAAUUUCAUUCCAACUUAGUCAUAUCCAUUUUUUAUGAUGACCAAAUUAAGGCAAUUUUUAUGAGGUUUUUGUACCUAUGACACUCUCUUGAUUCGUAUCCGCGUAUAGGGACCAUACCAAGAAAUGAGACGGUCGUCCUGGCCUGUAUCGCUAAGGGGACCGAAUCAAGAAGGAGAUCAUUAGGACAAAGCAUAUGAAACAUGCAGAAGGAACAUGCAUGCUCCUUGACUCGUACCGCGAUGGUCGAACCAAGGACAAAACUUUUAUGUGGAUUAAACAUGCACUUUGGUUUGUACCACAAUGGCCGAACCAAAGGCAAGAAUUUUAGGGAGAUAAAACAUGCUUCUUAAUUUGUGUCAUGAUAUCCGAACCGAAGGCAAAAGUUUAGAGUGGACAUAACAUCAAUUCCUUGGUUUGUACCGCGAUGGCCGAACCAAAGACAAAAGUUUAAGAUGGAUGUAACACACUCCUUAGUCUGUACCGUAAUGGCCGGACUAAGGGCAAGAAUUUUGGGAGAGGAGGAAGAAGAAAACUCCCUGGUCUUUACCACAAUUGCUAAACCGGGGGCUAGAAGAGAGCCAUGAGUCUCACCUUUCAAACCUCCUACACGUAGGACGCCUACCUCCUUCUCUGCUCCUGUGCUACUGUAUGUGUGUGUGAUUUUUAGCAGAGGAGAGGAACGCACUAAGGGCCAACCCUGGACCAGUCUGCAUGCCUUGUCUUUAUAGGGACGGCGUUUGCAGCACUGACCCUUGAGGCUGCCGCGCACGCCAAGAACUCAACUUGCACGGCGUGUAAAACGUGGGAGCAGGAGCGUGGCUGGCUGGUAAAACGUGGGUAGGAAAUGGAGUGCUCCAGACUUGGUCUCCGUGAGUUGAUUGAUGGGACCUGGGCGGGAGCGCACAUGGCCCUUUGGCCCAAUUAGUUUAAUCAAUUUGCUUAAUUAAACACUACCUUGAGAUGGGCAAGACAACAUCUGGGUCUCUUAAUUCAAUUGUAGCCUAAUGCAUGCAUCAUGCAUGCCUAGACAUGAUUAAGAGGAAACCAAUUACGAUGUGUGGCUAUAUGAGCUAAGUCAUAUACGCAUACCACAUGCAUGUAUAUAUAUGCUAUCUAAUGGAUCUCUUUUUCUUCUUCUUCUUUUUUGUGUGUGCAGCAGAUCGGUCCUAUUAUUGCCCUUCUCCAUCGAAUUAUAUUUUGUGUGCAUCCGUCAAUAUACAACGGUAUUUUGAUGGAGGGACAUACUCCAUGAUGCUUUGACAUUUUUUGGCGUCCCCUCUGACGAUGAAUUUUAGAUCAUUAUCCUUCCGCGCCGAUGCGCGUACAUUUUUUCCAUAGGAGAAAACUUGAGGAUUGUUACUUGUUUCGUCAUAUUUUAUAAUUGUUAGUUUAAUGCGUGCAUUAUCGACCUUCGAAAAUAUAUCGUAUGCCUAUUUUUGUUAGUCCUCACUUUGAGCAAUUGAUUAUAUUUUUUAAUUGAUUCUUCUCAUUAUAAAACAUAUUUUUACCGUUUCUUUAAUUUAUAUUAUGUGGUUCAUAUAUUUAUUUUAUCUUGGUCAAAAUCCAUGUCGACAGUCCUUCCUGGUGCUGAUCAUCUCCCAUUGCUCAUCUGGGCGUCCACAUAUCUGGUAGAUAGUGUCCUUAAGAUCCUUGUGAUAAACUUCGUUGAUGCGCCCUAUGGCGAUGUGGGCUGCCAUGCUCUUUCCUAGAUUCUAGGUUGGUGCAUCAAAGGAAAACUAUAUGGGUUCAGUAACUGGCGUGAAUGUCCUUCCUGGAACUUGAACUCGAAUCAUCCAACGCUCUCCUUCUGUUAAAGUAACAGUGUAGGUCCCGAUGAAGCUUGUAUACCAAUGUUCAGGUACCUAGUGACUUCCUUCAAGUGUCGUUCAAAAGGUGUGUCUUCAUCCGGCUGUGCGAACUUGUUCCUUGUGUCCGCCAUCCUAUAGAGUAGAAGAUGGAGAGAAGUCUGAAAUAAGUAGAGGAGAGUGACAUAUGUCUCAUCUUAGUGUUUGUGUCCUACAUUCAGCGUGUGCUCUGAUACCAUCUUGUAGCGAUCCAACCUCAAUCGGUUGAAUGUUUGUGCAUAAGUGUCAUCCCUGGAUCGGUAAUGCUGACACACACAGUACUUGAAGGAUCUAUAACAGAGUGCAAUCACACACUUAUUACAUCGAAUAACUCAUAAAAGAGUACUUGUUACAAUAAUACGGCUUAAGGCCAUCUAAAUACGAUAACAGCGGAAGGCUUGGAAGAUAAAAUGAGUCCAUCAACUCCAACGGCGUAGCUGAGUGCACGACAACGACCUAGCGCACCUUACUCUUCGUCUGAAAAGUCUGUAACAUGAUAUUUUGCAGCCCAAAACAGGUCAGCGCAUGGAAUAUGCUCGCAAUAUAACACAGUCGAGCAAUGAACAGGUAAAUGCUAUCACUACAUGCAUAUAUGGCUGGUGGAGACUAUGGUUAUAAUGUUUUUGCGAAAAGCCAAAUUUUCCCUACAACAAAGAAAUAUAUUUUAUUUAGCUAUCAUGGUAGUUGGAAAAACAUUGAGAAUGGUAAGUCCCCAUCUCAAUCCCAAUUAAAAAGUAAUUAACAACCCACCAAAUUUAUUUAGAGUGAUGAGAUCAACAUGAUAAUUCAAGAACCAGAUACUCAAGAUGUCCAUAACUCGGGACACGGCUAACCAUGAUUAGUUUGUACGCUCUUUAGAGGUUUGCGCACUUUUCCCCACAAGACUCAAUCUCCUCCGUUAGAUUUCUUGCACUACAUGAUGUUUGAGAAACGGAUGACCGAGACACAGUCUUUCAGAAGCAUUAACUCUUUACUCUGGGUGGACAGUUACACCUACUUUCCCCUACAUCAGCUAGCCCACCACUGAAAGAGGUCAUGCAACAUACUCAACUAUGCUAGAGCCCAUAAUAGCUUGUGGCUGCACACGGAAGUUUCUAGCAUGAAUAAUCUUAUGAUCCCUUUGAGCCUGGGUGGCGAACCAAAGGACGGCACUGGUAUAUCCCCAGGUGCCCGCAACCAAUCCACCCAGAAUGUGUGUUUAAGUAGCCACCUUAAGUUAACCAUUAAUUAACAAUCUCACAUAUGUCAUGGAUACACUCAAACCAAAUCCACGUCUACGAGCAUAGCAAGGCAAAUUAACCAUAACGUAGAAGUAACUCCCAAAGUUUGAUAAUAAAAGGGCAAUAGGUUCUACCUCAUUAUCUACUUCCCAAACCCACAUGUUAAGAGAUCCUACUCACGCAAUAUUUGAGGGUUGUAACUAAUGCAUAAAAAAACUGGGAAAUAAAGGGAUAUGAUCAAAGUGUUUCUUGCCUUGCUGACGAUACGCAAAACCUAGUGACUCGUAGUAGCAUGUUGUGCACUCUGGGAAUUCUAGAGCAAACAAAAAAUAGCAUACAUAAGCACUCAAUAAAAUAUGCAAGGGUAAAACUUCAAAUAAUAAGAUCCAAUCUGAAAGUUCAACUGAAGAGGUUCGAUUUGCAAAAAGAAUCGAUCAAAUCGGAGGUACGGAACUGAAACUACGGUCAAAAGAAUUUCGAAUUCAAAUCUGCUUGAAACCAAAUUUUAAGUUGUCAAAACCUUGUUCAAGUUGAUUAAAUAAAAAGAGGGGUUCGAGAUGAAGAUUUUGGUGUUGGUUUCACUGGAUUUGGACAAACGGUUAAGAAAUGGCGAGGGUUUGAAUAUCAGGGGCUAAUCUGUGAUAAAAAUAAUCGCAGGUAGGUCCCUGGCAGAAAAUAAAAUAAAAAGAAAAUACGAACGAAUGAACAUUCGCUGUCUGAACCUAACCGGCGAACAUCGUUCAUUAAAACGAAUGAACAGACAAACGUUCACAAAAUAAAAUAAACCGAUGAAAAGCGAUCUAAGAAAAUAAACUGGAAAACUAAAAAAGAGAGUUAACCGAGGAAACCCGACCGGUCAAAAUGGGGUCAACGGCGGCGGCUCCGGCGAGAUCCGCGGCAGCGGAGAUGGCGGUCGAUGGCUGCGGGGCGACGGCGGCGCGGCGCGGGGCAGCGGGCGGCGGCGGCGGCUUCUAGCGGCGGUGGCUAAAGGCGGUGGCGGUGCGGCUCGAUGGGAGGAGGCGGCGGGCCUCGACCCUAUUUAAAGGCCGAGGGCGUGCGGCUUGGGGAAGGGGUCGCUGGGAGGAGGAGUCCUCCGCGGACUCGGCUGCGGCGGCGUGCGCUGGCCGGACUCCANNNNNNNNNNNNNNNNNNNNNNNNNNNNNNNNNNNNNNNNNNNNNNNNNNNNNNNNNNNNNNNNNNNNNNNNNNNNNNNNNNNNNNNNNNNNNNNNNNNNNNNNNNNNNNNNNNNNNNNNNNNNNNNNNNNNNNNNNNNNNNNNNNNNNNNNNNNNNNNNNNNNNNNNNNNNNNNNNNNNNNNNNNNNNNNNNNNNNNNNNNNNNNNNNNNNNNNNNNNNNNNNNNNNNNNNNNNNNNNNNNNNNNNNNNNNNNNNNNNNNNNNNNNNNNNNNNNNNNNNNNNNNNNNNNNNNNNNNNNNNNNNNNNNNNNNNNNNNNNNNNNNNNNNNNNNNNNNNNNNNNNNNNNNNNNNNNNNNNNNNNNNNNNNNNNNNNNNNNNNNNNNNNNNNNNNNNNNNNNNNNNNNNNNNNNNNNNNNNNNNNNNNNNNNNNNNNNNNNNNNNNNNNNNNNNNNNNNNNNNNNNNNNNNNNNNNNNNNNNNNNNNNNNNNNNNNNNNNNNNNNNNNNNNNNNNNNNNNNNNNNNNNNNNNNNNNNNNNNNGGUCGGGGCGCGGGGGUGGGCUGCGGCGGCGGCCUGGCUCGGCUGGGCCGUUGGCCCGGUCGGGCGCGCGACUUUUUUUAAACAAUUCCACCGAGAGGAAAAAAUCCUAAAUAAAUAAAAAUAAAAAUCUAAAAAUGCCAAAACAUAUUUUCACCGUCUAAAUAAAAUAUUUAGAACUUAGUGAACAUUUUAUUGGCCUAAAAAUGCUAUUUUGAAAUAUGCAUAUUUUUCUAAUUCAAAUAAAAUAGCAAUAAAAUCCAAAUAAAAUAAUUUAUUUGAUUUUAAUAAUUUACCUCAAAUAUUUCAUUUAUUUUGGAGAAGUCGUAUUAUCUCCUCUCAUAUAUUUUUAAUAUUGGAAAUAUUAUUUGGAGAGAAAAUAAUAAAAACCAAAGUGACUCACUUUUCAAUAUUUGAGAAAAUUCAAAUAUGAAAAUAAUAAAAUCCCCAACUCUCUCCGUGGGUCCUUGAGUUGCUUAGGAUUUUGGGAUCACAAAGCCAAAAUGCAAAUAAAAUAUGAUAUACAUAUGAUGACCUAUGUAUAACAUUCCAAAUUGGAAAUUUGGGAUGUUACACUAUCCCCACCCCCCUAGACCCCAGAAUCCACCUAUAGGGUAUUCUCGAGUCCUCCUCUACCGAUUUUCGCAAAAUCAGAGUUCUCAUGUGCGCUAGAAUGGUGGCUCGAUCUCGCUGGAGUCCAUUGAAGCUGAAGCUCCGCCGCCGCCGAUUUCUUCAGCACCGAGGGUCCGCAGCAUCUCCUUACUCCUGUGUCUUGAUCUCCUUACCCUCCCCUAUCUUCCUCAUAUGCUAGUUCGCACAGAGACACCCCAUACUUGAGCAAUUGGAGCUCGCCCUACAAUCCACUGCCGCCACAGUAGUCCAACCACUCGCCAUCACCACCCGAGGGUCUUCCAGUCCGCGUGGACGUCGCCAAACUCACCGCCAUCAUACUCCUCUUCCUCUGGUCGGUCCUUCGUCGCUAGAGAUUCCCUGCAGCUGUCAUUGUUGUCGAGGUCCGAGCCGCCGAGGUCCUCUUCUCCAAGUCCGGCAGCCUCCCGACUCUCUGUUCUCCGGUGAGUCACCCAGCACCGUCUGAUCUGUUUUAAAUGGUCGAGAUUAGAUCGACCAGCUUUUAUUAUUUCUGGACUAUUAUCCUUUAAGUUGUGUCCGUCUGUCGUUUAAGCCACGCAGUGAACGGUUUCCCACCAAUCACCUAGUGCCAUGUGGCACAUCCACAGCAGCCGCGGCAGUGCUUCCAAGAACGCUGCCAUGGUACAAUUUUUCUGGAGGAUCAGAACUAAGCGUUGGAGUACUUCAACACCUUUCAAGGCAAGUAUGCACAUUUAAUUUUGCUUAUCCUAUAUUCUGCUAUGUGUGUGUGGUUUUAUGCUAUGCUAUAUGUUUGGCUUCAUAUGUGUAUUCCGUGUUACCAUGUUUUGCUGUUGAUUGUGGUAUGUGAUGGGGUGAUCAACUUGCUAUGGUAGACGCGGGCAUGUGUCGAGUGAUCCAUGAAAGUGGCACAUGUUUAUAGACGUAGGCUUGGGAUAAUUAACUAGGUGAAUGCAUCACUAGCAGAGCGCUCUAUUGUCCCUAGAGAAUGCACCAUUGAUAGAGCGCACUUGAGGAGAAGUAUAGUUUUCUGAACUUAAAUCAGGUGAAUGCGUCCUUGGCAGAGCGCUCUAUUGUUCCUAGAGAAUGCGCCACUGACUAGCGCACUUGAGAAAUACUUCUGAAGUUCUUGUCAUGUUUAUUUAGAAUCUUUGGGUUAUCUUGGGCAAGUAAAUUAGAGACGGUUGUGAGUUCAGGUAGUGGAGGUAGGUGAAGACAUUCUUCUCCAAACUAACUUGUGUGUUUUGUCAUACAUCGCUUUGUGGAUGUAGGUUUGCUAAAUCAUAUUGUGUGAUUUGCCAAUACAUUCAAUGUAUUGACCCUUUGUGGCUGCAACUUAUUAUGUUGUAGGAUUUCAGUUGAUCAGUGAUAUAUAGUAGGGUCGCGAGUCUUCACUCGGCAUUUUCUCUAGUGGGCAUUGAUGGGACUCAUCAUUUGCUUAUGCUACAUUUCCGCUGUUAUUAUUGAAUAAGUUAGUCAUGUGCUAUUCAGUUUGUAAUACUUUAUAGUUUCUGGAUCAUACAUUAUAGUAAACGAUGCACUUGUUAUUUGAUAUUCAUAUGUACUAUGUGUGCUAGCGAGUCGAUCCAGGGACUAGCACAGUGAGCACAGACACAACAAAUCUUAUCAGGUUCGGAUCAUUACAGAUGGUAUCAGAGCAAUGUGUUGAUUGUAGGUCUUGACCCUAGAAAAUGGAUUAGAAAAGCCAUAGGAGUGAAAAACUUAAUUUACAACUUGUCGUCUACUUGUUAGUUCAUACUCUUGUACUCAUAUCUUUUCUUUUCAAGUAUAGACGACCCCUGGAAUUAUAUUAGUGUCAUUUACAGAGUUUUAGUUGACAGACCACCAUUCCUAAGUUGUGUUCGAUAAAAGAUUUGAUGUAGUAUGAUGAGAUCAUAUCUCUUGUGGAUAUGACCUUGCCUGUAGGUUUUGCUUGUGUUGUGUGAUAUGUCAUAUGUUUGGUUGGUCAUUGCUUUCUGUGUUGUCAUAUUUCAUGAAUUGUUUGUAUUAUGCAAUUGGAUGCUUGAUUGAUCAUAUGUGCUCUUUUGAUGUGAUUACUUUAGCAUAGUUUUGGUGACUUGUGUGAAUUGUGUGAAUUUAGUGUUUGUUUUUGUAGGAUAGUUUUCGGAACUUAAAUCAGAUGAAUGAGUCCUUGGUAUAGCGCUCUAUUGUUCCUAGAGAAUGCGCCACUGACAUAGCGCACUUGAGAAAUACUUCUGAAGUUCUUGUCAUGUUUAGGCUGUGUUCGGACUGGAGGAAAGCAGAGCAAAGGAAUGGGAAAAGGUACAGGAAGUGAGGUUGGGUGUACAGUACAAAUCAUAGGUCUCCAAAGUAGAGGAAUAGAAAAAUGAGGUGUGUUCGCAUCACAGGAAGCUUUCUAGCAGUUGCCUUGAGUUUUGACCAUUACACAUACUAGCCAUUGCACUACCUUUGCUCUAUACUCCCACCGUAAACUAAUACUCCCUCCGUCCGAAAAUACUUUUCAUCAAAAUGAAUAAAAAUGGAUGUAUCUAGAACUAAAAUAUGUCUAGAUACAUCUCUUUUUAUCCAUUUUGAUGACAAGUAUUUCCGGACGGAGGGAGUAUAAGAGUGUUUAGAUCACUAAAGUAGUGAUCUAAACGCUCUUAUAUUAGUAUGCAGAGGGAGUAUAUACGUACAGAUACACAAGCUUAAGAACACACAUCGCACAGCCAACCAUUCCCACAGCCAUUCUUCACUGCUGAGUUCAUUUCAACAUCACAUUUCUCAUUCAAGCGAUGAAUCCAAACUACCGUAGGCGAUCAGAAAAUGAAGAUGAAUUCGUUUUUCUCAUACAUCCUACAUUAGAAGGUAGCAUCUCAUCCACAAAAAUGCCAAUGCAUACAUCCAUCCUCACAGGAUCCACAUACAUGCAUGAAACACUUACCGGCCAUGAGGUCUUGUGCCAUCAUGUUCUUUCAAGAGCCAAAUAAGAUAUGACUUCAUUUUGUGAUUCCAUCUAGCUCUAGCA